UACGAAGGGGGCUAGCGUUGCUCGGAAUCACUGGGCGUAAAGCGCACGUAGGCGGCUUUUUAAGUCAGGGGUGAAAUCCUGGAGCUCAACUCCAGAACUGCCUUUGAUACUGAGAAGCUUGAGUGUGGGAGAGGUUGGUGGAAUUCUCGGUGUAGAGGUGAAAUUCGUAGAUAUCGAGAGGAACACCGGCGGCGAAGGCGGCCAACUGGACCACUACUGACGCUGAGACACGAAAGCGUGGGGAGCAAACAGG
rnacentral:rRNA from 1 species